rnacentral:rRNA from 1 species
UACGGAGGGUGCGAGCGUUGUCCGGAAUCACUGGGCGUAAAGGGCGCGUAGGUGGCGCGGGCAGUCAACGGUGAAAGUUCGGGGCUCAACCCUGAAUCGGCCGUCGAUACUCCCGUGCUCGAGCACUGUAGAGGCAGGUGGAAUUUCGGGUGUAGCGGUGGAAUGCGUAGAGAUCCGGAAGAACACCGGUGGCGAAGGCGGCCUGCUGGGCAGUAGCUGACGCUGAUGCGCGACAGCGUGGGGAGCAAACAGG